rnacentral:rRNA from 1 species
UACGGAGGAUGCGAGCGUUAUCCGGAUUUAUUGGGUUUAAAGGGUGCGUAGGCGGAUUUUUAAGUCAGCGGUAAAAUGUCCGGGCUCAACCCGGGCCGGCCGUUGGAACUGGGGAUCUUGAGUGGGCGAGAAGUAUGCGGAAUGCGUGGUGUAGCGGUGAAAUGCAUAGAUAUCACGCAGAACUCCGAUUGCGAAGGCAGCAUACCGGCGCCCGACUGACGCUGAGGCACGAAAGCGUGGGGAUCGAACAGG